AGUAAACAUUCAAUGUAAUCCUAUAAGCCUCUUCAGAGGUUAACAAAGGUCAUACAUUUCCAGUUUGGAGAAAAUCGGGUCAUGCAUGUGUGAUCUAAAGCCAAACGUAUGCAAACGGCGAAGCAUCAUCAUUUGCCACUUGGUCACGCCCACAAAAUCCAGCCAGCAAUCAGUGUUGGGAUAAGAAUGCAGCAUCAACAAGUUGUGUCACCAGACUCAGGAACUAGGUUAAUUAUUGCCCAUGAAUUUCUAUUGGGCUGGAGAAAAGAACACUCCUGGCAGAAAAUGAAGAGACUGGACUGGAACCAAACACGAGAAAUUUGUUUUUCAAGGAUGUCACAUCUUUCUAUUGUGCAGUUGUGGAGAAUAUGUUGAACAAAUUUCCCUGGGAUGACACUGUUCUCUGUGACCUGGUUGUCCUCGAUCCCGCAAAGAGAGCUGACUUGGAUUACACUGAGUCUCAAGGAAUUUUAAAUAGUCCUCCAACUCUGAACUAGAAUAACAUUACAUGCAACAAUCACUAUCAUUCAGAUACUAUUUGUACUGCAUAUUAGAAAA